GAUGAGCGCUGGCGGCGUGCCUAAUACAUGCAAGUCGAACGCACAGCGGAAGGUGCUUGCACCUUUCAAGUGAGUGGCGAACGGGUGAGUAACACGUGGACAACCUGCCUCAAGGCUGGGGAUAACAUUUGGAAACAGAUGCUAAUACCGAAUAAAACUCAGUGUCGCAUGACACAAAGUUAAAAGGCGCUUUGGCGUCACCUAGAGAUGGAUCCGCGGUGCAUUAGUUAGUUGGUGGGGUAAAGGCCUACCAAGACAAUGAUGCAUAGCCGAGUUGAGAGACUGAUCGGCCACAUUGGGACUGAGACACGGCCCAAACUCCUACGGGAGGCUGCAGUAGGGAAUCUUCCACAAUGGGCGAAAGCCUGAUGGAGCAACGCCGCGUGUGUGAUGAAGGCUUUCGGGUCGUAAAGCACUGUUGUAUGGGAAGAACAGCUAGAAUAGGGAAUGAUUUUAGUUUGACGGUACCAUACCAGAAAGGGACGGCUAAAUACGUGCCAGCAGCCGCAGUAA
rnacentral:rRNA from 1 species